GGGGAGAACUCAGCAGCAGACUUGGUUCAUGCCUUAGUUUAUAUUUCUCACAUGAUAUCCUUAUGAAACAUACAUCAUUCUGAAAUACAAUAAAACUAGUGAAAUCAAGACAUGGACCCACAUCAGAAUAAUGUUAGUCAUUCUGUAUAGAAGAGAAACAUGCUGAUUCUGCUCUGAGGGAUUCUAGAACAUGCUGAUUCUGCUCUGAGGGAUUCUAGAACAACAUGAUGAUUCUGCUCUGAGGGAUUCUAGAACAACAUGAUGAUUCUGCUCUGAGGGAUUCUAGAACAACAGGAUGAUUCUGCUCUGAGGGAUUCUAGAACAACAUGAUGAUUCUGCUCUGAAGGAUUCUAGAACAACAUGAUGAUUCUGCUCUGAGGGAUUCUAGAACAACAUGAUGAUUCUGCUCUGAGGGAUUCUAGAACAACAUGAUGAUUCUGCUCUGAGGGAUUCUAGAACAACAUGAUGAUUCUGCUCUGAGGGAUUCUAGAACAACAUGAUGAUUCUGCUCUGAGGGAUUCUAGAACAACAUGAUGAUUCUGCUCUGAGGGGAUUCUAGAACAACAUGAUGAUUCUGCUCUGAGGGAUUCUAGAACAACAUGAUGAUUCUGCUCUGAGGGAUUCUAGAACAACAUGAUGAUUCUGCUCUGAGGGAUUCUAGAACAACAUGCUGAUUCUGCUCUGAGGGAUUCUAGAACAACAUGAUGAUUCUGCUCUGAGGGAUUCUAGAACAACAUGAUGAUUCUGCUCUGAGGGAUUCUAGAACAACAUGAUGAUUCUGCUCUGAGGGAUUCUAGAACAACAUGCUGAUUCUGCUCUGAGGGAUUCUAGAACAACAGGGAAUUCUGUUUCCUUCCUGUUGAUGUACUGUCAGAUGGAAACACUCUAACCCAACAUGUAGAUUCUACUCUGUGAAUGACGAGGUUUGUGGCACAGAUCAUUAUCAUGAAAUAACAGACAACAGUUCACAGUAAACACAGACUAUCAUUGUGCACAACCCUAUACAACCCUAUUACAUAGCAUCAGCAAGGUACAUAAAACACUGACACCAUCCCUUUAAGGCCGAUAGAUAGGUCAUCCCUUUAAGACCUACACACAGUUCACCCCGUAAAAGACAGACAAUAAAGGUCAACCCUGUAAGACCGACAGACAGGUCAUCCCUUUAAGACCGACAGACAGGUCAUCCCUUUAAGACUGACGGGCAGGUCAUCCCUUUAAGACCGACAGGCAGGUCAUCCCUUUAAGACCGACAGACAGGUCAUCCCUUUAAGACCGACAGACAGGUCAUCCCUUUAAGACCGACAGGCAGGUCAUCCCUUUAAGACCGACAGACAGGUCAUCCCUUUAAGACCGACAGACAGGUCAUCCCUUUAAGACCGACAGGCAGGUCAUCCCUUUAAGACCGACAGGCAGGUCAUCCCUUUAAGACCGACAGACAGGUCAUCCCUUUAAGACCGACGGGCAGGUCAUCCCUUUAAGACCGACGGGCAGGUCAUCCCUUUAAGACCGACGGGCAGGUCAUCCCUUUAAGACCGACAGACAGGUCAUCCCUUUAAGACCGACAGACAGGUCAUCCCUUUAAGACCGACAGACAGGUCAUCCCUUUAAGACCUCAAAUAUAUUUGAAAAACGAGUUAAAAAAUGAUUAUUUACAAAAAUACUUUGCUGUGUAAACUUUUCAUUUUCAUUCCAACCAAAGGUUAGAGUUAGGUACUCUCUACCCCUAACCCUCUAUCCCCCUGUCUACCC
rnacentral:lncRNA from 1 species